rnacentral:lncRNA from 1 species
CUGAUCCCUUACGCCCGAGGACUAAAUCAGCUGCGAUGGAGAACGCGGGGACAAUGCCGCAAGGAAUUGCGGGGCGUAAGAGGAUCCCCAACCGGGAAAGGCCCACGGCCGAGGAUGAAGCCCUCAACCUGAUCGCUCGCGAGGGUGAAGCAAGACUUGCGGCAAAGCGUGCAGCACGAGCUGAAGCACGGGAAAUUAGAAUGAAAGAACUUGAGAAGCAACAAAAGGAGGUUUCAGAUGAAGAUGAUCAUGUUUCCGUGCAUAGCCGUGGAAGCUUAAGGGUUAGUAAUUAGACUAAAUGAAACAUUUUUAUCAUUGUUAAAGAUUUCUCCCUUU